AACGAACGCUGGCGGCAGGCCUAACACAUGCAAGUCGAGCGAAGCCUUCGGGCUUAGCGGCGGACGGGUAAGUAACGCGUGGGAACGUGCCCUUUGGUACGGAAUAGCCCCGGGAAACUGGGAGUAAUACCGUAUGUGGUCGAGAGACGAAAGAUUUAUCGCCAAAGGAUCGGCCCGCGUUGGAUUAGGUAGUUGGUGGGGUAAUGGCCUACCAAGCCGACGAUCCAUAGCUGGUUUGAGAGGAUGAUCAGCCACACUGGGACUGAGACACGGCCCAGACUCCUACGGGAGGCAGCAGUGGGGAAUCUUGGACAAUGGGGGAAACCCUGAUCUAGCCAUGCCGCGUGAUCGAUGAAGGCCUUAGGGUUGUAAAGAUCUUUCAGUGGGGAAGAUAAUGACUGUACCCACAGAAGAAGCCCCGGCUAACUCCGUGCCAGCCGCCGCGGUAAGAC
rnacentral:rRNA from 1 species